rnacentral:rRNA from 1 species
GUAGUCAUAUGCUUGUCUCAAAGAUUAAGCCAUGCGUGUCUAAGUAUAAACAAAUUUGUACUGUGAAACUGCGAAUGGCUCAUUAAAUCAGUUAUAGUUUAUUUGAUGGUAUCUUGCUACAUGGAUAACUGUGGUAAUUCUAGAGCUAAUACAUGCAAUCAAGCCCCGACUUCUGGAAGGGGUGUAUUUAUUAGAUAAAAAACCAACGCGGCUCGCCGCUCCCUUGGUGAUUCAUAAUAACUUCUCGAAUCGCAUGGCCUUGUGCCGGCGAUGCUUCAUUCAAAUAUCUGCCCUAUCAACUUUCGAUGGCAGGAUAGAGGCCUACCAUGGUUUCAACGGGUAACGGGGAAU